UACGAAGGGGGCUAGCGUUGUUCGGAAUUACUGGGCGUAAAGCGCACGUAGGCGGAUAUUUAAGUCAGGGGUGAAAUCCCAGAGCUCAACUCUGGAACUGCCUUUGAUACUGGGUAUCUAGAGUAUGGAAGAGGUGAGUGGAAUUCCGAGUGUAGAGGUGAAAUUCGUAGAUAUUCGGAGGAACACCAGUGGCGAAGGCGGCUCACUGGUCCAUUACUGACGCUGAGGCACGACAGCGUGGGGAGCGAACAGG
rnacentral:rRNA from 1 species